GACGAACGCUGGCGGCGUGCUUAACACAUGCAAGUCGAACGGAAAGGCCCUGCUUUUGUGGGGUGGUCGAGUGGCGAACGGGUGAGUAACACGUGAGUAACCUGCCCUUGACUUUGUGAUAACUUCAGGGAACUGGGGCUAAUACCGGAUAGGAGCUCCUGCUGCACGGUGGGGGUUGGAAAGUUUCGGCGGUUGGGGAUGGACUCGCGGCGUAUCAGCUUGUUGGUGGGGUAGUGGCUUACCAAGGCUUUGACGGGUAGCCGGCCUGAGAGGGUGACCGGCCACAUUGGGACUGAGAUACGGCGCAGACUCCUACGGGAGGCAGCAGUGGGGAAUAUUGCACAAUGGGCGGAAGCCUGAUGCAGCAACGCCGCGUGCGGGAUGACGGCCUUCGGGUUGUAAACCGCUUUCGCCUGUGACGAAGCGUGAGUGACGGUAAUGGGUAAAGAAGCACCGGCUAACUACGUG
rnacentral:rRNA from 1 species